UGUCCAACAUCAAACAUUUCAAAGCUCAGAAACGAGCCUAUUAAAUUCCCUCAUGUGGCUGGUGACGGCCACACGGCCUCGUCUCCGUGUUUCUCAGGUCCUCCAGGAUGGCUCACGGACGUGCCUGCCCCGGCUCUUCCCACUCCUGCUCCAGUCCUAAUCAGUAGCCUCACUUCUGGCCCAAAGGCGCUUGGAACAGAGCAUCCUCCCUGAGCCCACAUUCACCACUGUCCCUCCAUGUCACCUCUGAGUCCCCACUGCCCGGCACAUGGCUGGAACACAGCGGCUGGUCGGCGUCUGAGCUGGGACCUGAGCGACGACAGGACUGCCUGGCCACCAGUACGUGCUGACAGCCCCGGGCUGGGUGUCCCUGUGGGUCUCAGUGUUCUGGGCCUGCAUCCUGGCCCGUUGCUUCCUCUGCCCAGGCUGGUCCUGCUGUCCUCCCAUCUUUCUCGCUCCGGCUUCCUUGCAGCUGAUGGUCAACAAGGCUGCAUGAGCCACAUCAGGCUGAUUCACCUGGGUCCUGGUCCACCUCGCCUUUCACACUUGACCUUGUCUCUGGUUCUUCCUAACGGCUCCGUUUAAGACCACAUCUCGAGGUCAGGACUGUGGAAAUGGGCUUCCAGGAGGAGGACUGACUUCCUCCGAGGCCCAGGUCCAGCCGCCCCCGCAUGACCGGAGGACCUGUGGUGAAAGCCUCCAGGGUGGACACGGAUGCUGCCUGUCCUCUGGACACAGUGCCACUGGCCCAGCAGAGUCCCCACCAGUGGUGCCCUGCACCCCAUGCCCCCCAGUCCCGGGGGCCUUACUCCCAGCCAUCCACAGAAGGAUGUGCUGCAGGAUAACCCCAAGAGUCACCGCUUAGGUAGGUCAGGAGAAGCGUGGGGCCUGGGGGCCCUCAGGGUGCUACGGCCCAAGCACGGCCAUCCUCUGCACAGGCCAUCCUCUGCACAUGUGCAAACUCUUUGCACCACAUUUGGGAGCUCGUCACCCCCAACCAACAAUAGGACGUGGAAAUUCCUUGAACAGAUGUCCCAGAGUGAAGCUAGUCAUUGCUCAGACACAAGGUAAGUGCAGCAAAACCCCCACUGUAAUGAACUUGAGGGGACACCAGGGUGUGUCAGCAGGGACAGGUGUGCCCAUGGGAAGAAGCACCCAGGGGGACGGGCGGCUCGCAUACUUGAGGCUGGCUUCUUGGGAUGACAGCGCUAUCGUCCUGGAAGCCGCUCCUCGCCACUCUUCUUAGAGGCAUGAGAAGAGGGGCUGGCGUGGGUCCUGGACGAGUCAGACACCUGGCCUGCUGUGCUGCUCGAGGACUUGAGGCACGUGACAUCCUCUGUCUGCACCUCCGUUUCCCCAUCUGCAAAAUGAGAAGGUUGGAAUAUAUCUAAUUUGGCACUGGAAGGUAGAAAUAAUUUCUAAAGCCAAACGAUCAUGUGUGUUUAGAAUCCUUGCCUGCUGCUGACCAGCCCAGGAUGGUGUCAGAGCCUGGACGGCAACUGCAGCCUUUGCUCGAGGGUCUCGGAUGCCAGAUGGAGCCUUGUAUUCAUCCUGCUGAGGCUCUCGCCAGCAUCUCUUGUGUGCAUGUGUGCUGCAGCAGGCCGUUUCCCAGUGAGCUUCUCACACCUCACCUGCUACUCGCAGUGGCAGAUGCGUAUUCUUCCCCAUAAAAGCAAUCCAGACGUCAGUGUCAGGACUGGCGUGAGGGUUCCCAGAGUCGUCAGGGACCUUCUGUUUUCCAUCCCACCAUCCUCAGUCACACAGCACAUUCCGAGAGGAGAAAGAGCAAGGGGCAAACCCCUUUGGGGAGAUUUCCCUGACAGCUGACUCCGUGAGUUCUGCCAGCAGCCCAUUGUGCAAGCCUAGCUGCAGAGGGAGGCUUGGAAAAGAGAAUUUUCACUGGGCACAUGGUUGCCCCGCAUGAAAAUGGGGCUCACUUCAGGAGGAGGCGAGGACUGAUGUUGAGUGGGCAGACAGCUCCCCGUGCCAGGCCUCCCCAGGAACUGCCGCUGCCCUGCUGUGACCACGGCCCAUGUGCACUUCUACGCCGUCUUCAGACACGCUCCUUCCUUGGCCUAACACAGGCCGACCGGCUCCGGGACGCCCAGAACCCAGCUCCCCAGCUUUCCCAUCUACCAGGGAUCAGACUUCAUCCCAACUUCACCCUAAACGCCUGUCCGGACCCUGGCUGACGUCCACCGUGAACGGUCUGAGUCCUGCUCUGCUGACAGCUCCUGGCCUGGCAUCUUUGCUGCCCAUCCACCUGACUCAGCCCUGGCCCUGCCCUCCCGGACCUCGACCUGAGUCCCAUUUCAAGGACUCCAUGCAGACCACAGGCUCUUCUCAGCAAACUGUUUUCACUGUGCAGGGAGCCUGAUUCUUUUUACUUAACAUAAAAUUAGGACAUACUACAGACAAUUUGGAAACACAAGUAGACGAGUAUAAGAAGAGGACACCUACUUACACUCCCUCCCGGUGCUCAGAUGAACGCUGUUAAUAUUAGAAACUACUCAUGUGGGAACUCCGUGUUGGCUUUUGGGAGCUCGGAGGAGUAUGUGGAUGCUGCUGGACGUCAUGUGGACACUGGCUACCCACCACCCCGAGUCACCCAGCAAGACCACCAGGCGAGGCUGCAGAUGAGCCCCAGAGGGGCCCAGCCUGCACUGCAGAGUCGCAGAAAUGCUAGAAAUUGCAAUACACCUGGUUGUGCCUUUAAGCCACUACAGUUUGGGGUGGUUUGUUACUUAGUAACAGAUAACUGAGUUCUGCAACUUGCACGUUCAGUUUUAACAUUAGACCGUAUUCCUGUGUAAUUACGUUGUGGUGAAAAGUGAGUUCUGGAUUUUAAUUUCAACUUCUCCACACAUUAGCUGUGACUUGGGGCACUCUAUAAAACGGACUUGAUAAAAACCUCAUAGAUUUUGGGGAAAAUAAAUGCGUUGAUAGAGGCAACCCUCAGUGUCCGAAACAUAGAUCAACAUCAAACAGAUUUGUAUUUCACCAAAUCAUUUCUUGAUGGCCACGAUGUGUCACCAUGGCCUGUCACCGUGUGCGUCUGUCAUGAGUCAGCCGUCUCCUGCUGUUGGGCAUUGAUGCUGUUUCCAGGUCUUUCACUGCUAGAGAGCACUGAGAACGAAGCCUCUUGUUUCCACUCUUCACAGGAGGAGACAGCGAGGCUGAGAAGGACUGAGCCGCUCGCUCAAGGUCACACAGUGGAGCUGAGGCUGCACACCUGGACCGUCACUGAAGGGCCUGCUUGCUGCCAGGCCCAGCUCGAGCGCCCGUGGAGGUGUGGCCGCCUCUGGCAUCACAGCACAACCGUCUCCCUGAAGACCAGCCAUCCUUGGCAAGGAGAGGCCUUCUGACAUGCUGAGGUUUGUAGGAGGGUGAACGCUCGCAGCCUCUGCACGUGUCUGCCCAGCCCUCAGCCUCCUGUCAUGACUGUCACCCUCAGACUGGCAGGGGUUCUCCUGGGAGGAUGGACUGAUGGCAGACGGGGGAGGUGCUGGUAUACAGACUCGACUUGGCUGGACGGUGGCUUCCAAUGGCCCCUACUGGCAUUUUAGGCCUGUCUGUGCUCAACUGCAGGCCCAAAGGCAGGUCACUCAGCUCUCUGAGCCUCACUUUCCCCGUCUGUGCAAUCGUGGCAUUUAUCCCUCCUCCCCUCCCCCAAGUCCCUCCAUUGUGAGGAUUAAGGGAAAUAAUGUGUGUCAAGUGCCCGACCCGAGUGCUCAGGACCAGUAAUUAUCCGCGCCUUCUUGACACUGGCAGGGAAGCGCUAAGGCAGGUGGCGGUGAUUUUUCAUCAUCCUGGCCUGGAGAAAGUAUGGCCCUGGGAACGGAGGAACAUUUGGAUCGGAAAACUGAACUUCUCCUGGUGCUCUCUGAGGUGUCAGGAAAGAUGAAAAUAAAAAGUAAAAAUUAUUUCUCCAAAUGGGACUUGGUGGGUGCCAAGUCAUCAGCAGGUGGAGCGCUGCCUUCUCGUGCACUUACUGCCCGUUAUGAGUCCGCUCACCACGUCCACUCACCUGCUGCACGUGGCGCUCAGUGUCACGGCCGCGGAGGGCAGGGGGCAGGAGGAGGCAUGUCCGUGGUGGUCGCCAGCGGGGCCCCACGGCUCUGUCCAGCCUCCUCUGCCACUCUCAGGUGACGCCCAGCCGCUGCUUGGAGUCGUUUCAUCUUCACAAGCCUGGACAGCCUCAAAGACGGUGACGUGUCCAGUCUCCGUUCCCUCGGAAAUGAAUUCAGGUUGACAGACUAUCAUUUUGAUAACUUUUCAUCCCAUUUCUUCCUUUUUGACUCCUUCCUGACAUUUCCUUGGCAUGGGGCUUACUCAUGAAAUUCAGGUGCCAAUAAAAGGCAGUUUUAACAAA